UCCACACUACUUUAAAAUAUAAGGUCCAAACUUAUAAGACACCAAUAAAAUAAGACCAAACUGUAAAUUUAACACAUGAACUCAUCAGGUCCAAACUUUUAAGACACCAACAAAAUAAGACCAACCUGUAAAUUCGACACAAACUCAUCAACCUAUCAAGCACCUUGUUAAAACAAGAUGCAUGACAAGUACAAAACAAACAAGACACAUGACAAGGACAAGGACAAAAUAAACUCGGUAAAUUGGCUAGGCUAAACUACUAUUAAGAAAACAGAACCCUCACUUCUUUUUCACAGCAGACUUGGUAACCUUG
rnacentral:misc_RNA from 1 species